rnacentral:ncRNA from 1 species
CGCCGUGAACUAAAGCAUUUCAGUAACGGCAGGAAAAGAAAAUAACCAUGAUUCCCACAGUAACGGCGAGUGAAGUGGGAAGAGUCCAACGUUGAAAGCGGCAUCUGUAACAAGGUGUGGCAUUGUAACGUAUAGACUUGUCAUCGAGGCGUCCGACCGGACUAAAGUCGUUAAGAAUGGCGCACCAUAGAGGGUUGUAGUCCCGUACAUGGUUCGGUAUCGGAUGUCGUGAAUGGCAAAGUCAAAGAGUCGGAUUGUUUGGGAAUGCAGUCCAAAGUGGGUGGUAAACUCCAUCUAAGGCUAAAUAUUACUCCGAGACCGAUAGCAAACAAGUACCGUGAGGGAAAGGUGAAAAGAAUUCUGAGAAGAGAGUGAGAAGAACGUGAAACCGUUAGUGGGGAAGCGGACAAUGUAAUCGUAGUUGUUUGGUGUUUGUGUUUUUCAACUUGUUGUUAAAUUCUUAACGCCGAAUAACGCGCCAGGCUCUAUGCUAAUGCAGCUGGCAGUGUAUUGGGUGGUUCGACAAAGAGUGUUUCUUGAGAAAUGCUCUGUCGGCUGACAGUACAAACUGUUGUAGAGUUGGCGCGGCAUGGAUGUGUGUGCUUGUGCGUUGAAGGUUCGUUGGCGUGUAGUCGGUGCGAUCCCACAAAGUGGGACACAUUGGUGUAGCGUUGGCGUAGUUUUGACGUCUCGACGAAUGUCGCACACAAACUCUUGGCGAGAUAUGACAUUGUCCGACCCGUCUUGAAACACGGACCAAGGAGGCUAACAUAUGCGCGAGUCGAGGAGUGGAGAAACUCUAUGGCGUAACGAAAGUGAAAUGUGAGAUUGUGCGACGUCGAGUCGUGCACGCAUCACAGACCAGUCGGAAGUUUGACUACGAUUGAGUUGGAGCGUAUAUGCUAGAACCCGAUAGAUGGUGACCUAUUCCUGAGCAGAGCGAAUUCAUUGGAAACAAUGAUGGAGGCUCGUAGCGGUUCUGACGUGCAAAUCGAUCGUCAAACUUGGGUAUAGGGGCGAAAGACUUAUCGAACCAUCUAGUAGCUGGUUCCCUCCGAAAUAUCCCUCAGGAUCGCCGAAGCUCGCAGCAGUUUCAUCGGGUAGAGCGAAUGAUUAGAGGCAUCGGGGCUAUUUUUAGCUUCAACCUAUUCUCAAACUGCAAACCGGUGACAUGUGGUCAGCGAUUUCUUGAUUGAAUCGUUGAUGCCGUAAGGCUGAAUGCAUGAGUUUCGAGUGGGCCGUUUUUGGUAAGCAGAACUGGCGAUGCGGGAUGAACCGAGAGUCGGGUUAAAGUGCCUAAGUCGCGGCCAACGGAUACCAUAAAAGGAGUUGGUAAAUUAUGACAGUGAGGCUGUGGUCCUAUAAGUAGAUAUCAGCUAAGAAGUGUGCAACAACUUACGUGCCGAAUGUACUGGCCCUGAAAAUGGAUGGCGCUUAGCCGCGCACUGAUACCCGACCGUAGAUGCGAGAAAUGUGUCAUCUAUGUUGACACGCAGACAACGCUCGGUGUGCGCGCUGUAUUUGUGGUUGAAAUAUCGCGAAUGACGACGUGUGCAUGGACGUGUUGGUU